rnacentral:rRNA from 1 species
CCCUAGAACAGGUGCUGCAUGGCUGUCGUCAGCGCGUGUCGUGAGAUGUUGGGUUAAGUCCCGCAACGAGCGCAACCCUCGCCCUUAGUUGCCAGCAUUGAGUUGGGCACUCUAAGGGGACUGCCGGUGAUAAGCCGAGAGGAAGGUGGGGAUGACGUCAAGUCCUCAUGGCCCUUACGGGCUGGGCUACACACGUGCUACAAUGGUGGUGACAGUGGGCAGCGAGACAGCGAUGUCGAGCUAAUCUCCAAAAGCCAUCUCAGUUCGGAUUGCACUCUGCAACUCGAGUGCAUGAAGUUGGAAUCGCUAGUAAUCGCAGAUCAGCAUGCUGCGGUGAAUACGUU